CUUCCAAAUUAUUUUCAGGAUUACCCGCUUUAUAAAUCAAGACACCAGACCAGCUCGGCGGCAGAGAGACAAGCUUGCUGCAAUCAGGUGAAUUGUCUUCCAUAGUGAUAAGAUGACAGGGAAACUACACCUCCUCCUGGUCUUGCUGGGCCUCUGUAGUGUAUGGUCAGAGUCUGGAGUCCAUUCCCUCCAGUCCAGUCCUGAAAAAGCCUUCAGAACCUCUCAGCCUCUCAGCCUCUCCUGUAAGGGAUCUUUAGUAGCUACAACAUGGCCUGGUUAUGUCAACCUGCAGGAAGAGCACUUGAACGGACAGGCAUUAUAUGGAGUGAUGCUAGUGGAACUGCAUAUGCAAAAAUUGUUGAAGGACGGGUAGAAGUCACCAGAGAGAAUUUUAACAGCAUCUGAAGCUGUCUGGUCUGAGAGAAGAGGACUCUGCUGUGUAUUACUGUGCAAGAGACACAGUGGUGUGAGUGGAGGAUCUGCACAAAAAUCCCUCAGAGAUUCUAACUGGCAGCAGAGUCAACAGAGGGCAUGGGAGCAUCAGUACAACAGAGUCAACAGAGGGCAGUAGAGCAUCAGUACAACAGAGUCAACAGAGAGCAGUAGAGCAUCAGUACAACAGAGUCAACAGAGGGCAGUAGAGCAUCAGUACAACAGAGUCAACAGAGGGCAGUAGAGCAUCAGUACAACAGAGUCAACAGAGGGCAGUAGAGCAUCAGUACAACAGAGUCAACAGAGGGCAGUAGAGCAUCAGUACAACAGAGUCAACAGAGGGCAGUAGAGCAUCAGUACAACAGAGUCAACAGAGUGCAGUAGAGCAUCAGUACAACAGAGUCAACAGAGGGCAGUAGAGCAUCAGUACAACAGAGUCAACAGAGGGCAGUAGAGUAUCAGUACAGCAGACUACAAAUUGCACACAUUCCACUGAGAACCAAAUCAACCAGUAAACCUUCAACUGAACUGCUGUUAUCAUGAGCAUUGUCCUAUAGGCAAGAGUAGAUAGUUAGAAACAUUGAUGAAAGUGUCACUCCACAAUACAUACUGGUACAUUAAUUGACAAUACAAAAUACAGAACCACAUUGUGGACCACUCAGAGUUCUGAGACACUGUAGGCAAUCAUAUGCAAACAUAGUUCAGCAUGUAAUUUGGUAUUAGCUAUAAUACGUUAUAGAAUGGGUUGUUCGGAUCCUGGAUGCUGAUUGGACAAGCAGCAUUCCAGGCCGUGCUGUAUUGGCCGUAACAGACAUGCCAAUGCCUGCUGACAGUUCCAUCUGAAAAUGAUCACUGCACCUCCAUAAGAAUGUUAUGCUGUCUGAAUCAUCUCUUGUAUUUAUCUCAACUCACACUUUAUUUCCCCUUGCUUCAAGCCUUGCAUUUAGUUUGGAAAGAUUUGGAAGAUUUGUUUCACUUUUGAAAUUUAAAUUCCCUGGUAGAGAGAAAGGUCACGUCCCCCUUUCAGACGUUGCACGCAUCAAACAAUGGUUGCGUGCCACAUCAUCGACUAUGUCAUCGACUGACAGAUUUCCAUAGAGAUCAGGAUGGGGGCGGCAGGGUAGCCUAGUGGUUAGAGCGUUGGACUAGCAACCAAAAGGUUGCAAGCUCAAAUCCCCAAGCUGACAAGGUACAAAUCUGUCGUUCUGCCCCUGAACAGACAGUUAACCCACUGUUCCUAGGCAGUCAUUGAAAAUAAGAAUUUGUUCUUAACUGACUUGCCUAGUUAAAUAAAGGUAAAAAAAAGACUCAUUCCUAAUUCUAUGCAGAUUGCUGUAACAUACAAUGUGGUUAUCUGAUAGGUAAAAUACCUAUCCAGGCGUUGUAAGAGUUGACAAGCGUAAGCAAUUUUUAUUUGAUUUAUUUCACCUUUAUUUAACCAGGUAGACUAGUUGAGAACAAGUUCUCAUUUGCAACUGCGACCUGGCCAAGUUAAAGCAUAGCAAUUUGACACAUUCAACAACACAGAGUUACACAUGGAAUAAACAAAACAUAGUCAAUAAUACAGUAGAACAAAAGAAAACAAAAAGUCUAUAUACAGUGAGUGCAAAUGAGGUAAGAAUUGAGUUAACAGAGUCCUUAGCAAUUGAUUUUUUAACACGGAUGAGUAUACCAUUAGAUGUUUUUGUUGAUAAGGGUAAAAUAUUAGGAUUGCUAAAAAUUGUUCUAUGGCUGUUUUUCAAAACAUUCUAUACAGUCCCAUCCCAUAAGUGAAGCAUCAACAUUCAAUAUGGUUCACAAAGGGUUUUCUGACAUUCUCAUCCCUGUCAUACUGUACCUGCCUUCUUAUGCAAAUUACACAUAGCUUUCUAAUGUUUUAACUCUUUCAUCUCACUCCCUCUGCCUUUUAUAAAACAGUCUCUCUGUGUGAAUCAUAUAUCUCUCGGGAUCAAGCGGGAUCAAAACGACAACAUCCGGUGAAAUUGGAGGGUGCUCAAUUAAAAUACAUAAUUGUAAUAUUAAACAUUAAUGAAAAUACAAGUGACUUACAUUCUUGUUAAUAUUCUUGUUAAUCUAACUGAUUUGACAGAUUUACAAAAGGCUUUACGGCAAAAGCAUACCAUGCGAUUGUCUGAGGACAGCGCCCCACAUCAACAUAUUUUUAAACCAAACAGGCUUCACAAAAUCACAAAUAGCGAUAAAAUAUUUCACUCACUUUAGAAAAUCUUCCUCUGUUUGCAAUCCCAAGGGUCCCAGCUACACAAUGAACGGUCGUUUUGUUUGAUAAAGUCCUUCUUUAUAUCCCAAAAAGUCAGUUUAGUUGGCGCCAUUGAUUUCAGUAAUCAACUCGUUCAACAUGCAGACAAAGGAAUCCAAAAAGCUACCAGUAAACUUCGUCUAAACAAGUCAAAUGACGUUUCUAAUUAAUCCUCAGGUACCCUAAUAUGUAAAUAAACGAGAAUAUUUCAUACGAAAAGUAGUAUGUUCAAUAGGAAAGGAAAAUAAUGAAGAGAAAGACUACUUUUGUUAUGGAGCUCCCCUUGGAACAACUCCAAUGACUUCAUUUCAUUUCAUUCAUUUUUCAAGAAACAAGCCUGAAACCUUGUAUAAAGACUGUUGACAUCUAGUGGAAACCAUAGGCACUGCAAUAUGGGAGAUAUAUUUUUUUUAAUAAUCCGAUUGGUUUGCAUUGAAAGAGCCUGUGCCCUAAAAAAAUUUAAAAAAAUUCUGGUUGGUUUUUCUUCAGGUUUUCAUCUGCUAUAUCAUUUCUGUUAUAGUCUCAGACAUUAUUUGAACCCCAAUGGGUGCAAGUGUGACAGUAUGCAUGUGAACAGCCUUUGCCAAUGUAUUUCUUACACUUACACAUCUCUAUGGAAAAAUGGCGGACGGAAGACAGGGUGGUGCGGCAGGUGCCGCUUCUCAUUCGAAUGCUGUAAUUUUAUCUAAACCAUCAGGUGUACGCCGACCCCAGCUAAGUAACUCAUGCAAAGAGUUAAAGCGCAAUUAUGUGUUUUAUCUCCAGUACUCUGCCAUGAUUGUCAGUUAUGUAGCUGCUCUACUGAUAAUCUCAGUGCGUCCUUGCUGGGAUGACACAAUCAGUCUACUACCGGAGAAUAUCAACACCAAACACAUUGGUUCACCGUUCCACGGGAGCGGACAGUACACAGCAUACCAUAAUGUUCUGAAUAAUGGCCAAGUCUACCUCGCUCCUUAUUCUACUGAACCGCUUAGGCGUAACAAACACAAGUCCAACAUUUAUCGGAAACUGUUAAACUACCUGUUCACUACCCUCCUGCUCUCCGGGGAUGUACAACUCAAUCCUGGGCCCAAUAUCACCGAGCCAGUGAUACGCACCGGAGUGGAGAGCGGUGGAAGGCCUCGUCCACUGGUCGUCGCCGCUGUGGAGGUGGGUGAGUGCUAUGGUCCUAUGGUUUCUCUCGACUCACCCGGCUCCAGGAUAGAUUUUGACUCUUCAAACAUACCAGAGUCGCUAUAUGCGAUCCCUGACUCUGCUUCUGGUACGCAAGCUAUUUUAAUUAGUUCCCCGCAUCCAGUGCAGGCGGGAGGGAUUGUUAAUUGCGCUACCGAACUGCCCCUAAUCAAAAUGAAACAAAACGGCCUAAACCCAGCCGUCAGAAAACACAGAAAAUUUAACUUUUUUCAAUGUGUCAAUCACUCUCGAGUCAUCUGGGACCCACGAGCUAAGCCCAAGGGACUACUAGGGGGGCACUUGAACAUUCGUAGUGUCAUUCCAAAAAGUGAUCAAAUUCAACAUCUACUCACAGACUCUAACCUUGACUUUCUCUGCCUCUCAGAGACAUGGCUCCAUAAACACUCUCCAUAUGCUGCUUUGAUUGUGCCUGGCUACAAUGUUUUCAGGAGAGACAGGAUUGAAGGAAGAGGAGGGGGUGUGAUGAUUUACAUUAAAGAACAUAUCCGAUGUAAACAAA